UGGGAGCAUCGGAAAUGAGGGGAGCAGGGAGCCGAGGAUGCCAGGAGGAACUGGGAAGAGGGAUCGAGGAGUACAGGACAUGGGGGCAAGUCUCUGACUGCUAUCCCGCCUCGACAACGCCGUGAUUCCGCUCAGGAGGCUUCUGUGCGGGAGUGAAAGCGCCGUGUUCCAGUCACAAAACCUCCGGCUCCCGAGGAAACACUGUCCCUUUGUGCCAUCGCACAAUACAGCAAACCUUGCGUUGCUGAGAGAAGUUGAACUUUUGAAUAUUCCCUCUGAAAGCUUCUUUCUGCGCGAAUCCGACCGCCCAUGGGGACAACAAAUGGGCGCAUUGUGGGGAUCCUGGGGGCCGCUGGCCACUGCGCUUCCCAGCUCGCCGUCGCGCUGCUCUGUGGCCGCUGCCAAAGUCAUUUCACUUCCCUGACCAGCCCCAGGGAGUUUUGUGUUUGGCUAUUUUUCCCUCCUUGAUGUCCCGGUGCUGCUGAAUACGCGCUGGAAUUCGGCUUUCUGCAGGCACGGUGUGCUCAAAUUGCAAAUAUCCCGCGGAUAUUUGGAGCCGGAGCGGGAGGGGAGCGUCGGGAGUGUCCCCCCAUCGCUCUGGGUCUGGGGUGUCCUCAUCGCUGGGACCCUGCUUGCACCUCGGCUUCCUCCUCCUCUGGGCUUGCAGCCCUCGCCUGACUCCGUUGCAUCUUCCCUCCUUCCUCAUCUCCUCGCUGGGUAACGGAGGAGUUCAGGUGCCGUGUGAGCUGUUUCCAUUCUGCCCGUCGCACCCAGGCUGGGAUCGGGACUUAGAAUCGGAGGACGGAGUGCAGUCACAGCAUCCCUGGUAGGGACGGCAGCAGGAGAAUGAUGGGGAACCCAACGACCUCUUUUCCAGCCUUUCUCAUGUCAGGGAGUUUCUCCCACUGGAUGGCGGCAUUAGAGCAAAGAAGUCUCUCCGGGAGAGGGGACAUCCACUGGAGAGACUUUAUCCUCUUGGUUUUCUGGCUCCCGGGAGGUUUGUGCUCGGACUGAGGAUAUGUGGGUUCAACAUGCUCGUGUUUGCACUGUUCCCGCCACUGAUGCUUAGCUCUCUGCCCUCUUCUGUGCUCCAUGGUUCCGCCCAGCACCCCAAAACAGGGUGCCAUGGAACAUCUUUCCCUGUGAGUGCAGAGGGACUUGCUGGGGGCUCAGCUGGGACACUGAGCCACAACCAGGAGAAAAACAGACCCAGACUGGGCAAGGAAAAGAGAUGUCAGCCCUAAUGGUACACCAGAAUCACAGCUUCUUAGCAAGGCAUAUCCCUUAUUUGCGCAAAGCCCUCCAUGUUCCAAUUGCUGGGGUGCAGAGACCCCCAUGUCAGUCACACCCAAAAUUGGCCCAUUUUUGCAUGGAAAAAAGAUUUGGGCUCAAGUUUUCCAAGGUGAUUGUAGAGGAGGGUCCAAAGCUCCCAGGCACUGGAGAACAAAGCCAAUCUGGCCACCUUUCUUUGCACCUCAUGAUUUUAACCCCAAAUAUUUCAAUCCACCUUUGGGACUUCACGAAUGGGCAGAGCGGCCUGUGCAGUGCUGGGUGGGCAGGGAAGGUUCAUGCAAGGCUGCAGCCGCUUUGCAAAUACAGUGCAGGGCAAGUGCCCUGAGGCUGUUUUCUGGCCAGGGGACAUCUCAGCUUACAGGUUCCCAGCUGGGCUGGCAUUGCUGUUGCCACCUGGGCAACCACAGAUCACAGAAUCACAAGAACGCUUGAGUUGGGAGGCACUCUCAGGGAUCAUCCAGUCCAACCUCUGCCCUGCACAGACACCCUAACAAUCCCACCCUGUGCCUGAGGGUGUUGUCCAAACUCUCCUGGAGCUCUGGCAGCCUUGGGGCCAUGCUCAUUUCCUGGGGAGCCUAGACAGUGCUCAGCACCCUCUGGGGAAAAAUCCUUUCCCCUGGUUUCAAACCUAACCCUUCCCUGACACAGCUCCUUGCUGCUUUUGCUGAAUUAUUUUCCCUGCACUCUGACGACAGUUCCAUACAGCAUCUCAGAUAGGAACUAUCCCACAAUGACAUUAA